rnacentral:rRNA from 1 species
UACGUAGGUGGCAAGCGUUGUCCGGAAUUACUGGGUGUAAAGCGCGUGUAGGCGGGAGGCCAAGUCUGCUGUGAAAUCGCUCGGCUCAACUGGGCGGGGUCGGUGGAAACUGGUCACCUGGAGGACGGUAGAGGCGAGUGGAAUUCCCGGUGUAGUGGUGAAAUGCGUAGAGAUCCGGAGGAACACCAGCGGCGAAGGCGGCGUCCUGGACUGGUACUGACGCUCAGGAGCGAAAGCGUGGGGAGCGAUCCGG